GACGAACGCUGGCGGCGUGCUUAACACAUGCAAGUCGAGCGGUAAGGCCCUUUCGGGGGUACGACGAGCGGCGAACGGGUAGAGUAACACGUGGGUGGACCUGCCCUCCAGCUCUGGGAGUAAGCCUGGGAAACCGGGUACUAAUACCGGAUAUGACUCCAUGACGCAUGUUGUGGGGUGGAAAGCCUUGUGCGGCUGAGGAUGGGCCCGCGGCCUAUCAGCUUGUUGGCGGGGUGAUGGCCUACCAAGGCGACGACGGGUAGCCGGCCUGAGAGGGCGACCGGCCACACUGGGACUGAGACACGGCCCAGACUCCUACGGGAGGGCAGCAGUGGGGAAUCUUGCGCAAUGGGCGAAAGCCUGACGCAGCGACGCCGCGUGAGGGAUGACGGCCU
rnacentral:rRNA from 1 species